ACGUAGGUGGCAAGCGUUGUCCGGAAUUAUUGGGCGUAAAGCGCGCGCAGGCGGUCCUUUAAGUCUGAUGUGAAAGCCCACGGCUCAACCGUGGAGGGUCAUUGGAAACUGGGGGACUUGAGUACAGAAGAGGAAAGCGGAAUUCCACGUGUAGCGGUGAAAUGCGUAGAGAUGUGGAGGAACACCAGUGGCGAAGGCGGCUUUCUGGUCUGUAACUGACGCUGAGGCGCGAAAGCGUGGGGAGCAAACAGG
rnacentral:rRNA from 1 species